rnacentral:lncRNA from 1 species
UUAGCUUUAUUUUAAUACAAAUAAUUUAUCAAAAUUAAUGUAGAGUUUUAUAGGUAUUUAACUUGAAUUUUCAGUCCUUUUUUGCCUAAAUUUACACAUGUUGAAGCUCAAUUUUAAACCCACCAACCACCCAAAGGCCCAAUUUUGAGCUCACUUCUUCUUUUACAAGACUAUAAGAAAAAACCCUAGCCAUCUUCGUCUUCCUCGCCAAGACCUUUAACCUUAAGACAAGAACAACCAUGGAGGCUGCCAUAUCUUCUUCUUCUUGAACAAAGACUAGCGAGACCCUAGCGCCUAAAGAGCAUCCUUCAACGACCAACAGCUUCCACCGCCGCCCAUCUCCACAACCAUAGAAUGGUCUUCACCUCUGAACCCUUCAGCUGGAGCUUCUUCUUCACUCCUUGAACCAGACCCUCACACAAAACGAACCCCUCCCCGAGGUCGUUCUUCUUCAACAGAGGAACUUCUCAUCAUCCAUUAUCAAGGCCUAAGUAGCCAUCGCCGGAACACCUCUCCUCUUCAAAUCAACCAGCGACCAGACCCAAUCCAGCUCGCCGGAAAACACACACACAUACACCCGAAGAAGGAACGGACGAGAUUCUUUUUCUUAUUUUAAGUUCGGAUUCAAACCUUCUGAUUUUCAUGUCAAUUUCUAGCUUCUUCUUCUGAUUUCUGAUUUUAAAAAAGAAAACAUGGAACUCAAUCGAGUUUGAGUGAGCCGAUUCCUGUCAACGGUUCCGAUUUUUAAGUCCAAUUUCGGGUUUGAAUUUGGUUGUUGAGAUGGAGCUGGUUAAGUCGGUGUUCGGGUUCCGAUUCGCGUUUGUGCUAAUAUUUUUGGGGUUGAUACUCUUUUUUUUUUUGUUGAAUUUUGUUGCCCUUCAUUUGGACAAAACUGUAAGCCCGAAGUUUCUCUAAUCUGGAAGAAAUUUUUGCCAUUGAGUUGUGCGAUGGAGUUUGAUUGAGUUGGGCCGUUCCGAGCUGGUCAUAUCUGAACAUUUAUGUUGCUGCGUUUGUUUCUUUUAUGAUUUUCAGCCUUUGAGUGUGAGAGCAGAUUUAUGUGAGUAUGAUUGAACAUUCUGACCGAGUGCGAGUACGGAUGAGAUUUACAGUGCCGAUUUGAGUUUCAGUCCGCGGUUCGUUGCGUUUAUGCGUUUCAAGGCUGCCGUUCAUUUAUAUUUCAGAUUCAUUGAGGUCCAUUUCUAAACUCUGUUCUUGAUUGAUUAUAGUGCUCUUCUUCGUGCAUUUUGAUAAAAAAUAAAUCCCACUUGAUAUUUGAUUAUCUGGUUGUGUGUAUAUGGUAUAUUUUGUCUUGCAUUAGUAUGUUAAAUGUUUGUUGAUGUUUGAUUUCUUAAACAAGCAAAAGCGUCUUAGUAGAUUAAUGAUAUAUUGAAUUAAAUUUUAAUGAAAGUGGACAGUUAGGAAGUUAAAAGAAAGAUUUCAGUUGGGAAUUUGUCCAUUUGCUCGUUUUGAAUACCAUUUACCUCAUCGUACAAGUCGUGGUGGGAUUGAAUAUUGAAAAAUGGAAAGAAACUCAUAUCUUAUCUUGUUUAUUGCUUUAAUCGUUAGGAGCAUGUUGAGGUUCGCUAGCACUUGGGUAGGCAAGCUUUUGGACUUCUAUUAAUUUUGAGGCGAAAGAUCGUUCCCGUAGUUAAAUUCAUCCAGGGAAUGCCCCGAAGUAUUUGUAUAUAUUGUAAACAGGGGAAUGCCCCGAAGUAAAUGUAAAUGGAGGCCGUGGAAACAUCAAUGGGCAUAGUAUAGGCUAGCAAGCUUAUUUUAUUUUGCUUUACUUUUCUUUUAUUAGGUGGAGAUGACCUCGAGCCUUAUGUGUGUUUACUUUGUCUUUUUUUGUGAUUUUACCUCUAUUUUGAGUGUUUUAAAAGUCAACUAGAUCGAGUACGCAACGAUGAUUUUCACGGGACUUGGGGAGUGCCUAACACCUUCUCCCCGAGUCAAAUGAACCCCUUACCUGAAUCUUUGGUGCGGACUUAGUUUUGAGUCCAAGUGCUUUAAAAGGAAAAAUAAUUUCUAAAAACGGUGGCCUGGCACACCUUAAUCAAAUGCCAGGUGGCGACUCUGAGUUUAUUUACUUUCGAAAUAAAUUUUUGUCACUUUCCAAAUAGAAAGCCCUUUUCAAGCUUUUACUUAAAUCUUUUUAUUAAUUUAAGAGGGUUUAGUGAAAGUUUGAAUUUUUUAAAAAUGGGUGUGACAUCUCUGGCGACUCUGCUGGGGAGACUCGCGGGUUCGAGCUAGUACUCGAUUUUGUCUGCUUUAGAAUAUUUGGUUGAGUUUUUUUAUGUUUAUUUAUUUAGCUUUGCUCAAUUUUUAUUAUGUUUCGUAUUUUGUUACUUGCUAGUUGUUUAUGUGUUUACAAUUUUACUUUAUGUGUUUACUGCUUUAUAACUGUCAUCAUAUAUAUUACUCGGUCAAUUCUUUCUGCAACAAGUCUCGGAGCACGCACCGCCUGCACGAACUCUUCGUUGAGUCACCCUUAAUUUAGGACGGUGGCCGUCAGACGUAUGGAGUGGCUGUAAAGCUCGAGCAGCCACUAUCGACCAUACGCUCCCCCGAAUUGCCUUGUUAGUGAACCCCAAACUUAGGUCAGCCUUAGGUUAUUUUUAUUUGCAUCAUGUAAUUUACACCUAGUAGGGCUCGGUCCUAGGUACCGUGUCCAUUUGUAGGGAGCCUGUCCAAAUAUUGUCAAAAUGGGCCCAUGGCCCAAAAUGACAUUUAAUCAUCCUAUGUGCUAAAUGUUGCAUCUUUGAGGGUAAAACGGUUAUUUGGCGUACCAAUGUUUGGAAAGAAGGAUAAAAAUG